UCGAAGAAACUGACAGAUCUGGAUGGCCACGCCCGACAGGAGAGCGGUCUCCAGACCCCGGGGACCUGGCUGGGGGCACCAGGGGAGCGGGGCCUGCCUGGGCUCCCUGGACGACCUGCCGUGUGAGGGGACCCAGGAGCUGGCACCGGCACAGCUGACCAUGCUGAGGAAGGCACGGGAGUUCUUCCAGACCUGUGACGCCGAGGGCAAGGGCUUCAUCGCCAGGAGGGAUAUGCAGAGGCUCCAUGAGGAGCUGCCCCUCAGCCUGGAGGACCUGGAGGAUGUGUUUGACGCCCUGGACGCUGACGGCAAUGGCUUUCUGACCCCCGCGGAGUUCACCACUGGAUUUAGUGACUUCUUCUUCAGCCAGAAUAAGCCAGGUGAGGAAGGUACUGGUGAGCACCUGGCCCAGCUCCAGGAAGAGAAGGUGUAUCAGACCCGAGGGGAUGAGGAUCUGGGUGACAUGGACGCAGAUGAGGAAGCCCAGUUCCAGAUGCUGAUGGACAGGCUUGGAGCCCAAAAGGUUUUGGAAGAUGAAAAUGACGUCAAGCAACUCUGGCUGCAGCUGAAGAAGGAUGAGCCUCGCUUACUGUCCAACUUUGAGGAUUUCCUGGCCAGAAUCUUCUCGCAGCUCCUAGAAGCCCACGAGGAGAAAAACGAGCUGGAGUGCGCCCUGCAAAAGAAAAUUGCUGCCUAUGAUGAAGAAAUCCAGCACCUCUAUGAGGAGAUGGAGCAGCAAAUCACAAAUGAGAAAGAGCAGUUUCUCCUGAAGGACACGGAGAGGUUCCAGGUCCGCAGUCAGGAGCUGGAACGGAAGCUGCUCUCCAAGGAGCAGGAGGCGGAGCAGCUCAUCCAGAAGCAGAAGCGACUGGAAGGCCAGUGCACCGCCCUGCACGACGACAAGCACGAAACCAAGGCUGAGAACACCAAGCUGAAACUCACCAACCGGGAGCUGGCCCGGGAGUUAGAGCGGACGUCCUGGGAGCUGCAGGACGCCCAGCAGCAGUUGGAAAGCCUCCAGCAAGAGGCCCGAAAACUCCACCAGGAGAAGGAGAUGGAAGUGUACCGCGUCACGGAGAGUCUGCAGCGGGAGAAGUCAGGGCUCCUGAAGCAGCUGGAUUUCCUAAGGGAAAGGAACAAGCAUCUUCGAGAUGAACGGGACAUAUGUUUUCAGAAAGACAAGGCAGCCAAGGCAAACACAGCUGCUUGCAAGGCAAGCCAGAAGCAGCGAUCUGGCUCCGUGAUCGGCAAAUACGUGGAUGACGGAGGGAUGCCCAGGAGCCAGUCAGAGGAGGAAGAAGAUGUGUUUGGCGUCCUGAGGAGGAGAAGCUCCCUGGGCCUGAGUGGGAACCCCCUUACAGAAGAGGGGCCGGGGGCCGGGCUCCGCAGAAUCAUCUCCAUUGAAGAGGACCCGCUGCCCCAGCUGCUGGCGGGCGGCUUUGAGCAGCCACUGGGCAAAUGCCCGCAAGAAGGGGAGGCCUCCGACCAGGGGGUGGAGGGCCAAAUCGGGCCGUCCCGGCCUCUGGGACUCACGCCUGCGUCUCCCCGAGGGCAGCCCGUCGGAAAAGAAACCCCGUCUAAGGAGGAAGGCUCUGUGUCCACCCCAGACCGGCUCUUCAAGCUCGUGUUUGUGGGCAAUUCCUCCGUGGGGAAGACGUCCUUCCUGAGCCGGUUCUGCGACGGCAGGCUGUCCCCGGGCUCAGCGGCCACCGUGGGCAUCGAUUACCGCGUGAAGACCGUGCGCGUGGACGACACGCGGGUGGCCCUGCAGCUGUGGGACACGGCGGGGCAGGAGAGGUAUCGCUGCAUCACCCGGCAGUUCUUCCGCAAGGCCGACGGCGUCGUGGUCAUGUACGAUCUCACAGCCAGGCAGUCCUUCCUGGCCGUGCGGCCGUGGCUGAGCAGCGUGGAGGAAGCUGUGGGAGACCGCAUUCCUGUUCUUCUGCUGGGCAACAAAGUUGACAACGAGAAAGAGCGGGAAGUGCCACGGGGCCUGGGGGAGCGGCUGGCCAAGGAGCACAACCUGAUCUUCUACGAAUGCAGUGCCCAUUCCGGUCACAACACCCAAGAGUCCGUGAUCCAUCUGGCCAGGAUCCUCAAGGAGCAAGAAGACACAGUGAGGGAGGACACCAUUCAGAUUGACCGCCCCACCAAGAAGAAAGCCUGCUGCGGCUGAUACAGGCCCCCUAGGACUCCCACCCGGGCCUGAGGCCACAGGGCCUACCCUGCCUCCUGCACAGAUGCCCUCACCAAGGCCCACCCAGACCUUUAUCCUUGUCAGUGACGUCCCCCACCCCAAAGGAAGGAAAACACAUCCCGUCAGGAAGGCUGCUCUUGGAGCAUCUUGGGGUCUUUCUCCCCUUUCUCUGUCUAGACCCGGUUGCCUAGUCCUUUCUUUUUUCUCCCCCUAGCUUGGUUUCCUGGGGAAACAACAGAUGGGCUUUUCCAGAAAAGCCACCCCGUGCCUUUCCCACCUCCCUUCUCGCCCCCUGCCCUUAGGAGCCUUGGCACUGAGGUUGCCAUGGCAACUGAGCAAGGCAGGCUUGCUGCUUCCUGUAGGCCAAAGACACAGCGCUGGGUGGGGCAGCUGGUCUGGCCUUGGAGCCUGUCCUCUGGAUGACAGUGGGGUCCCCUUGGCCUGUGCUUCGUGGACGUCGAGGUGGCCGCGGGUGUUGAGAAGAGCACGCUGGGGCACCUGCAGCCUGUCCCCCCCCUCCCCCCAGUGGUCCUGCUCCUCCCCAAGCUUCUGGGCCCCUCCUCUCUCAGCAGCCACCAUGCCUCCAGUAUUUGUCCCCUUGGGCUCUCCGGAGCCAUGCCUUCCAAAAACCACAGCCUUUGCUCCCCGCCGCCCACCCAGACCCCCGACGCCAAGGUGGAGUGUGGGCGAUAAAUGUACGCCUGGGGUCAGGGAGUGGGCUUACUAACUGCUUAACUUUGACUAGGAGAUGAAAAGAAAACCAGGGCAACAAAACCAUCUGUUGCUAAACAGAGAGGCCAUGUCUGAGGGUAUAAAUAAGUAUAUUUAGCUAUGUAAAAGCCAUUUUCUAAAUGUUUCUCAAAAUAGCUCUUCAGAAUUUGUACAUGAGGAUUAACAGGGUAGAUUGACAGGCAGGCAGGGAGGCCCAACACCAGGUCCGUAGUGACUGAUUUCACUCUAUGUUACUUUUUUCUAGAAGGCUCUAUGUUUUUUUUGAAGUGUGGCUGUGACGUUGACAUUUUGCUGGGGUUUGAGCGUGAACAGAGGGUAGCUGUCGGCCUCGGCACCCCUGUGAGGGCCCCGGCACGGGGCACUCGGAUGGAGGGGACUGAUCUGGACCCGUGUGUGGGCCCGUCCGCCAGGUGGUGAGGUCCCAACCCCUGGCAGCGCUCCAGCGUCACUGGCUGGUGUCCAGGGGGUUGGCGAGGGUACUCUUGCCCUGGCUGGGAGUUUGGAUGCAAUGAUCGUAAAUAUCACUGCCUAUGACCAUUCUAGGGCUAGACCCAGGCCCCCCGUAGGAAACUGGGUGAAGUCCAUGUACGGAGGGGCAGCAGGAAGGCAGGGAGCAGAGAGUAUCCACAGGCCUCCAAGAAGAUGAUUCAAGACACCUGCACACAGCCAGCCCGACCGCGGGGCGGGAGGGAGAGCCGCCGGCCAGAGCUCCCGAGGGGAUUCCCGUGGCCUCUUUCCCAAACCAGCCUCGGGCUCAGAGGCCAUGGGCCACAAGCAGGCGCCAGCCGCCGUGUGCAGACUUUCUCUCUCGUCCAGCCUUUGUAGGCCCCUGGGAGCCCACAGGGGCGGGGGACAAAAGCCAGCACUGGGCACCAGGAGGUGCCCAGGAUCUCGGGCACGCCUGCUCCCUCCCGGGCCCCCGUCGCAUCAGUAAAAUAAGGGGUGGGCUGUUUGAUGCUUCAGGUUCUUCCUGCUCAGCGGGCUUGUGUUCACUGUCUGACUUAUGCUGGCCCCCAGUCCAGGUGUGAAGGGACCCCCAGGAAGCUCCUUUCCCUAAGAGAGGGCACUGCUGACGGUCUCACUAGUGGGAUGGGUCACCCAGAAGUGGCCCUCCAAUGUCUGUGUGUGUGCAUGUGGAGGGCAGGUAGAAGAGAGGGGACAGCAUGGAGAAAGUGAACAAGCUCCCCCGCUUCUGACAAGAAACGGAGAUGUCGACGGGACUCAUGGGGCCGGCAGGCUGUAGCUGGGGCUCCCCAAGCCCGCAGGUGCCUUUAUCCCCAGACCCUAGUCCCCGGCUUGGGUUUCGAGCAGGGUGGGAUGACCCUAGUGCCUGGCCUUCCAGCAUGUUGGGUAAAUCCCACGAACCCUCAAAGAUCCAGGCAGGAAGAGGGGCAGGAAGGGUCGUUAGGCCUCUGCUGCUUCCUUCUCCGACCCCACCUGAAAAAAAAAUGGCAGAGGGGGACCUCAGAGAGACUCUCAGAAGCUCUGUGUCCCCGGGUCUCAGCUGCCCCUUCCCUCCCUAUUCCUUUGAAGCAAAGCCCAGUGGCCGCCAGCCCGGCCCAGAGCCUAGCACAGUGUGUCAGAAAAGCCUCGUAGCUCCACCCCCUUGCUGCCGGAAUGACCCUGAGCAAGUCACUUAAGCGGGUUUCCUGUCUGUCUGUAGACGGGAGGUUUCCACGUCUACCUCACAGGGAUGUUUAGGCAUCACGGGAGGCGGUGCACGUGAAGUGCCCAGAACACACAGGUGCUGACAAGCAGGGGCUACGAUCAUGGUCAAGGUCGAGUUUCUGCCCAGACCCCUUGCCUUGCCUCAGUUUCAGAUUCAGCAGCAGCUAACACGAAGCGUCCUCCCGUAACUGGGAACUGCACGGACACCACCUCGUUUGUGUGCCUGCUUGUCCAGCCCAUCCCCCCGGCUUCUGAGCUUGUGUCCGGCGUGGCCUCUUGGCCCUGCCCGUCUCUGUCCUGCGGGUUUCCUGGCUUUCCAGGCGGGCCCGCGUCCCACCGCUCUCCCUCCCUGCCGUGGUCCUCCCGGACUCAGCCCGUUCCCCGUGCUUACCCGGGAUGCCCUGUGCUCGUCGGCAUCCCUGGCCCCAUGCCUGCUCCCCGAUUCCGACUCCUUGGGCUUCCCCCGGGUCUGCUGCUGCCUUCACCCCGAGCGGCCACCACAGGUUCCAUCACCAAACCAACAGCCCUGUCGCUCUGCUCCUUGUCCCGCACUUACUUCCCCUCACAGCCCCUCUGGGGUCUUUUCUGUUCCUCUGUGAUACCCUGACUUUCUCCCACCUCUCCCCGCCCUGUACUCUUUCCCCAGUGUUCAUACCUCCGCCCAACCUUGGAGUCCCCUCCCCGCUUCUCUCCCCCAGGCCCACAGGCGGCAUCUGCGUCCUCCAUCAUAAAGGGCUCAACCCUUUGUCUCUGUCAUGAGUGGUCACUGCUCCAAAGGGUCUUAAACCAAUUUCAGCGAAGGUGUUAAGGCCGGCGUUCAGGCCGUAUUUAUACUUUAACAAAGAACUCUAAAGGAGACAAAACUUCAACUCAAAGGAAUAAAUCCUUAGUGCUAGACUAGUAAGCACCAUAAUGAGUCAUGGGGGUCAAAUAUUUAGGACAGAGCUGCUUCUCCUGUACUCCUUUUAAAGACCUCGGUUUGCCUCAUGUACUUUGAGGCUCUAUUUCUAAGUUCUUAUAUAUUUAAAAAAAAUUUUUAUUGGAGUAUAGUCGAUUUAAAAUGUUGUGUUAGUUUCUGUUUUACAGCAAAGUGAAUCAGUUAUACAUAUACAUAGAUCCACUCUUUUUUAGGUUAUUUUCCCAUAUAGGUCUUUACAGAGUAUUGAGUGAGUUCCCUGUGCUCUACAGUAGGUCCUUAGUAGUUAUCUAUUUUAUAUAUAGUAGUGCGUAUAUGUCAAUCCCAGUCUCCUGAUUUAUCCCUCCCUUGGUAACCAUAAGUUUGUUUUCUACAUCUGUGACUCCUUGGUAACCAUAAGUUUGUGUUCUACAUCUGUGACCUCUAUUUCUGUUUUGUAAGUAAGUUCAUUUGUACUCUUUUUUUCGGAAUCCACAUAUAAGCGAUAUUAUAUGAUAUUUGUCUUUCUCUGUCUGACUUACUUCACUCACUUGUAUGUUUAUAAUUGUUAUCUCUUCUUGAUGAAUUGACCCUUUAUCAUCAUAAAGUGUGCUUCUUUGUCUUUAGUCACAAUUUUUGUCUUAAAGUCUAUUUUGUCUGAUGUUAGUACAGCCACUCCAGCCCUUUUGGUUGAUACACCUUCCGCAUGAUAUAUCUUCUCUCCCCUUUUACCUUCGACCUAUUUGUGCCUUUGAAUCUAAAGUGGUUCUCUUGUAGGCAGCAUGUAGCUGGAUCAUGUUUUUAAAUCUUUUCUUCCAGUCUCUGCUUUUUAAUUGGAAAGUUUAAUCUGUUUAUAGUUAAUGUGAUGGGUAAAGUAUUUGUUAGCCAUUUUGCUCUUUCUUUUCUGUAUUUCAUAUGUCCUUUUUGUUCCUCUCUUCCUCCACUACUGCCUUCUUUUGUUGUUUGCAUUAGUUAUUUUCUACUGUACAACUGUAAUUCCCUUGUAAUUUUAUUUACUAUGUAUAAUUUAUUUGUUUUCUUGGUGGUUGCCCUUGGGGUCACCAUUAAUAUCUCAAUUUACAACAGUUUGGAUUAAUAAUGACUUAAUUCCAAUAGUACAAAAAAUUUGUUCCUGUACAGUUUCCACUCCCCCCUCCCUGUUAUUAUUAUAAAUUACAUCUUUAUACAUUUUAUGCCCAUCAGCAUAGAUUUGUAUUUAUUGUUUUUUGCAGUUGUCUUUUAAG